rnacentral:rRNA from 1 species
CCUACGGGAGGCAGCAGUGGGGAAUUUUGGACAAUGGGCGCAAGCCUGAUCCAGCAAUGCCGCGUGAGUGAAGAAGGCCUUCGGGUUGUAAAGCUCUUUUGUCAGGGAAGAAACGGCAGUUUCUAAUACAGAUUGCUAAUGACGGUACCUGAAGAAUAAGCACCGGCUAACUACGUGCCAGCAGCCGCGGUAAUACGUAGGGUGCAAGCGUUAAUCGGAAUUACUGGGCGUAAAGCGUGCGCAGGCGGUUUUGUAAGUUUGUCGUGAAAUCCCCGGGCUCAACCUGGGAAUGGCGAUGAAGACUGCAAGGCUAGAAUCUGGCAGAGGGGGGUUAGAAUUCCACGUGUAGCAGUGAAAUGCGUAGAGAUGUGGAGGAACACCGAUGGCGAAGGCAGCCCCCUGGGUCAAGAUUGACGCUCAUGCACGAAAGCGUGGGGAGCAAACAGGAUUAGAUACCCUGGUAGUCCACGCCCUAAACGAUGUCUACUAGUUGUCGGGUUUUAAUUAACUUGGUAACGCAGCUACGUCGUGAGUAGACCGCCGUCGGGAGGUACGGUCGCGAAGUAAGUUAAACGUUAACGAAAGUAAGUUAGUUAGGCGUUGAGAGNGCGACGACGACGACGAGGGAGGAGG